rnacentral:rRNA from 1 species
UACGUAGGGGGGCGACGUCGUUCGGUUCGAUUUGGUGGCGUAAAGAGCUCGUAGGCGGUUCGAUAAGUCAGGUGUAAAAACUCCAAGGCUCAACUUGGAGGAGGCCACCUGAUACUGUCGUGACUAGAGUCCGGUAGAGGAGGCACGGAAUUCCUGGUGUAGCGGUGAAAUGCGCAGAUAUCAGGAGGAACACCAGCGGCGAAGGCGGUGCUCUGGGCCGGAACUGACGCUGAGGAGCGAAAGCGUGGGGAGCGAACAGG